CCUACGGGGGGCUGCAGUGGGGAAUAUUGGACAAUGGGGGCAACCCUGAUCCAGCCAUGCCGCGUGUGUGAAGAAGGCCCUCGGGUUGUAAAGCACUUUCAGUGAGGAAGAACGCCUGGUGGUUAAUACCCAUCAGGAAAGACAUCACUCACAGAAGAAGCACCGGCUAACUCCGUGCCAGCAGCCGCGGUAAUACGGAGGGUGCGAGCGUUAAUCGGAAUUACUGGGCGUAAAGCGCGCGUAGGUGGCUUGAUAAGCCGGUUGUGAAAGCCCCGGGCUCAACCUGGGAACGGCAUCCGGAACUGUCAAGCUAGAGUGCAGGAGAGGAAGGUAGAAUUCCCGGUGUAGCGGUGAAAUGCGUAGAGAUCGGGAGGAAUAACAGUGGCGAAGGCGGCCUUCUGGACUGACACUGACACUGAGGUGCGAAAGCGUGGGUAGCAAACAGGAUUAGAUACCCGGGUAGUC
rnacentral:rRNA from 1 species